AUAGCGCAUAGUACCGUGAGGGAAAGGUGAAAAGAACCCCGGGAGGGGAGUGAAAAAGAACCUGAAACCCUGUGUUUACAAGCAGUGAAAGUGCGAGCAAGGCACGAUCACGUACUUUUUGUAGAACGGACCGGCGAGUUACGUUAUGCAGCAAGGUUAAGAACUGAAGGUUCGGAGCCGAAGCGAAAGCGAGUCUGAAUAGGGCGAUAGUUGCAUGACGUAGACCCGAAACCGGGUGACCUAUCCAUGAGCAGGUUGAAGUGGAGGUAAAGCUCCAUGGAGGACCGAACCAGACGUCUGUUGAAAAAGGCGGGGAUGACUUGUGGAUAGGGGAGAAAUUCCAAUCGAACCCGGAGAUAGCUGGUUCUCCUCGAAAUAGCUUUAGGGCUAGCCUCAUGGAUCAUUGGUGGGGGUAGAGCACUGAAUGUGCGCGGGGGCCACAAAGCCUACCAAACGCUAUCAAACUUCGAAUACCAUACAAUGCAGACCAUGGGAGUCAGUCCGCGAGAGAUAAGUUCCGCGGGCAAAAGGGGAACACCCCAGAUCAACCGCUAAGGUCCCAAAGUUCACGUUAAGUGGAGAAGGAUGUGGAAUUGCACAGACAACCAGGAUGUUGGCUCAGAAGCAGCCACACAUUUAAAGAGUGCGUAAUAGCUCACUGGUCGAGUGAUUGUGCGCCGAAGAUGUCCGGGGCUAAACGUGACACCGAAGCGAUGGGUGCGUCUGAAGAAGAUGCGCGGUAGAGGAGCAAUGUGCAGAGGCAGAAGCCGUAUCGAGAGGCACGGUGGACACUGCACAAGAGAGAAUGCCGGUAUGAGUAGCGAGAGGCAUGCGAGAAACAUGCCCGUCGAAAGCCCAAGGUUUCCUGGGGAAGGUUCAUCCGCCCAGGGUAAGUCGGGGCCUAAGCCGAGGACGGAAGUCGUAGGCGAUGGACAGCAGGUGUAGAUUCCUGCACUACCGAUGGAAUGAAGCAGUGACACAGAAGGAUAACUCGAGCAGGGUGAUGGUCAACCCUGUGCAAGCAUCAAGGUUGGGUUGUAGUGAAGUACGCAACCCUAUAAGCUGAGGUGUGAUGCGGACCGAAAUUUCAGUAGGGAAGCGAGUGAGUUCACGCUGGCGAGAAAAGCUGCUAGUACAUCCAAAGGUACCCGUACCGGAAACCGACGCAGGUGGGCGAGGAGAGAAUCCUGAGACGAACGGGAGAACCCUUGUUAAGGAACUCGGCAAAAUGACCCCGUAACUUCGGGAUAAGGGGUGCCUGCGAGAGCAGGCCGCAGAGAAUAGUCACAAGCGACUGUUUAGCAAAAACACAGGUAUCUGCGAAAGCGAGAGCUGACGUAUAGGUGCUGACACCUGCCCGGUGCUGGAAGGUUAAGGGAACAUGUUAGAGCAAUCGAAGCAUCGAACCGAAGCCCCAGUAAACGGCGGCCGUAACUAUAACGGUCCUAAGGUAGCGAAAUUCCUUGUCGGGUAAGUUCCGACCCGCACGAAUGGUGUAACGACUUGUGAGCUGUCUCAACAGGGGGCCCGGUGAAAUUGAAGUAUGGGUGAAGAUGCCCAUUACCCGCGACUGGACGGAAAGACCCCGUAGAGCUUUACUGCAGCCUGAUAUUGAGUUUCGGUAACUGAUGCACAGGAUAGGUGGGAGUCUGAGAGACAUGGGUUUCGGCUCAUGUGGAGACGAUGUUGGGAUACCACUCUUCGGUUACUGAAAUUCUAACAUAGCUCUGUGAAACCAGAGGAUGGACAGUGUCAGGUGGACAGUUUGACUGGGGCGGUCGCCUCCGAAAGAGUAACGGAGGCGCCCAAAGGUACCCUCAGAAUGGAUGGAAACCAUUCGAAGAGCGCAAAGGCAGAAGGGUGCCUGACUGCGAGAUUGACAAAUCGAGCAGAGACGAAAGUCGGGCUUAGUGAUCCGGCGGUAUUGAGUGGAAAAGCCGUCGCUUAACGGAUAAAAGCUACCUCGGGGAUAACAGGCUGAUCUCCCCCAAGAGUCCACAUCGACGGGGAGGUUUGGCAC
rnacentral:rRNA from 1 species